rnacentral:lncRNA from 1 species
GCAUGGCGUGGCCUUGCUUUCAAUUCGUUUUUGAAUCAUCUUGGAUGAUCUUGGGCCAACGGCCAAAGUGUCCGGCGUCCAGCGUCCAGCGUUUUCCUCCCUGCUGCAAGCUGCAUUAUUGUUAGGCCUUCGUUAUUAUUAGGAGUGGGAGGCUGUGCUGCUGUGUGAACGCCUCUAGUCGAUAAAUUAAAGAACCCACCAUGCCGCACUUCCCAACCAAAAGACAUCAUGUCAAUGAAGACCUGUUCGAGUGGAGAGUGCCGAAAGUCGGUAAAUUUGAUGAUAAUAAUAGAGUCGAUGAGACCAGACCAGGGCUCCGGGAGCAGGGAUUCAUCAGGACAGAGUGUCAGGCCAGUGAUUCAGUAUGGAGCAUGUCCAUUGUAAAUCACACUUCUAAUGACAACAGAUGCGGAAAUGCCCAGUGGGAAAGUCAUGAUACGGACGCCUCUAACCAGCAUCUGACUUGUUUCCAAUUUUCAGUUGGUUCUCACGCUCAUAUCAAUUCACUGCAUGAGCAGGGAGACUGUGCCAUGCAACUGCAACCCUCUAUGACUGUAUCUCAGACAGGUGUACCUCACACUGGUCUGCACUUUUUGCCUCAGCAAGGAGGGAUCCAAGCUCCUGUUCAUCUCCUUUCCAAUCAGCCUUUAGCCUCUCCACAUUUUGCAGCAGAAACUCAUAGUCAAGGAAUUUGCAAUCCUAUUGAAGACAAGUUCCCUGUGAAUAGCUACCCUGUAUCAAGUGUGAAUGACAGACCUUGUCCAGAAUGUGCGGCUGGAAAAUCGGGCCACAUCAGGCACAUUGGAAGAUGGAGACUAAUGGACUCCUGAGGUCGCUGUAAGGAUGUUGCGUGACUACAGUGAGCUGCUAACCAAGAAAGAAUGAUCUCAGAUAAGAUCUGAAAGCACUUGCCAGUGAUGUUUAGCUUCCAGAUUAUCAGGAUAGAUAUAGUAGAUUUUGAGAUGUGUUUUUAUUAUACUGUAUUUGAGGCUCAGUUACUUUUUUGUUAUCAGUGGAGACCAAUAUGUGUGCUUUGUUGUUCAAUAUAAAUUAGGUGGUAGCAGAGAAAAUGAUCUCAGAUAAGAUAUGAAUACACUUGCCAGUGAUUCUCAGCUUCCAGCUCAUUGGGAUAGAUUUAGUAGAUUUUGAGAGGUAGGCGGUUGGCAGGUGCUCUGGUGUAGUUUGCUCCUUCUUCCCUUUUUCGAACAUCUAUCUUCCGCAUGCAUGGAGCCAAGGAGAUUUGCUACUGUUAACUCUUUUUAUUGAAGCAAAGACACAAAAUCACUCAAAGGAUUUCUAAAAUUAUGCAACAGUUUUGUCGAAAACAUAUUCAAAUUAUGUGGAAUGUUACUGGACAUACAGCGGAAAAAAUUUCUAAUCUGCAAUACAUAAAUGUAUCUUGUGCUUUAGUAUAAAAGUUAGAAGAGUUCAUACCUUACAGUGAGUACACAAGAAGUUGUGCAAUUCCUUUAAUUCCUUUCCCUUUUGCGUUCAGAUGUUGUUUUAAAACAAUAGGUUUACCAGGAGGGGAUUUUUUUUAAUGGUUAGUCAGACACAACACUCUUCAGGAAUCAGUGUGUGGGUUUUUAUUCUUUUCCUCUUGACAACUGACAAAGUAAUGUUUUCAGCAUUUGUACGUUUGGGAAAGGGUAGGAGAUCCACUGGACAUGAGCAGGAGUUCCCAGGUUAUUUUGGUCCAGAAUGAAAAUUAUAACUAUAGUUUCGGUUAGGAUGAACUGAGGUUUCGUUGUAGAUCUCAAAUUUUUCGAGGUAUCUGAUAUUAUGGAGCUUAAAUGCAUGUGAUGAAGUCACAUAAGUCGACAGAACGACUCUGGUAUGCCCAAUGGACUAGGUUCUAGUCAAUUCAUAUGUCUCAGCUAGCUUUUUUUGACAAUAUUUUGAUAUCUCAAAUGCACAAAUUUUGUUUUCUGAAUACAUGUUUAGAUUAUUUUGUAUCACAACUUUUUUUUACAACGAUAAUCAUUAUCAUGAUGUAUGCUGUACUUUCAUAUUUUGUGAGUUUUAUUAAUGUAUUGACAAUUUUUAAAAUUUUAUACAGUACACACUUUCUUGAGCAGUUCACAGAUUUUUAGAACAAUAAUGGCACAAAACCAUGAAACAUAAUAUUGUUUUGAAGUCUGGCACAAUAACUGUGUUUGAUGAAAUAUUUUAAAAUCUACUUUUGGUGUGAAGAAAGACUACAUUUUAAAAAGGUUUUGAGACAUACUACUUAAUGUUUUCAUUGUUGUUUGUGUGUGAAGACCACGAGGAAAAUCCUGAUAAAUCACAAAGUUACUUCUGAGUAAUUUGAAUUUUAAAAUAAAAAACUGCAAUUUAUUAUUUAGUGUUGUAUGGUAUUGUAGAUCUGUUUAGUGGUAUCUCUAACUUCCUACUGGUAUCUAGAUCUAGAUAUUGGCUGUCUCUAUUGGGUAUGGCGUCGGUAGUCUAGUGGUUAGGCUACUGGACCCGUAUUCGUAAUAUUGUGGAUUUGCGAGGGAGACACUCUGCUUUUGGGUGUUACAGGGCCACACUGCAGAUUUGGUCAGCUUCGACAGUUUGAGCACAUUCUCAUUCUCAUGUUUGUAUAGCUCACUGAUGUCACUCCAGCUUGCAAAACGAGUUUCUCCAGUUGAAGUGCUGACCAAAGGAAAGGACAGAGUCUUUGUUGGUUCUGUUUUCCAGUUUUUCCUGAUAUUCUUUAGUAUGUGUGUGGGAUCAUACAACAAGAACACAGGUUGUGACGGAUUGGAGGGUGAUGGAACGAUCCAUGGGGAUUGGGAGUUGAAAGGUGUGAGUAUCUUGAAGAAUGCUUGGUUCACUCUGUUGUUGUCGUUUAUCACAGAAAUAACUUUGCCUCCACAUUCCUCAAGCAUUGGUGAUGACGCUGCUGACAACUUCUAAGAGAAAGUCACUUUUGAGAGUUGCGACGGGGACCAGCUUAGUGAGGAGAUUAUUGCCCGUAGAAGACACUUUACCAUGACUGCUAGGACUGUUGUUACCUUGUAUGUCUUGUCAUCCUCUGCGAAGCCAUAGAGUUAAUCGCUCCAGUACUGGUUGGAAGCCUUUACAUACAUCUCAUCUGCAAGGAUGAUACAUGCUUUGCUCCUGUCUAGCUGAGAUUGAAAUAUGUUGUAGAAAAGUGUGAGGUCAUUGGUGUUCUUUGAUUUCUGUGUGAUUUGUCCAAGAGUUGAAAUGGAUGGGAGUUUCGAGGGACAGUGCAGUUUUGAGUUUUGUAUACCAAAAUAAUUCUCCUUGAAAUAGGCAACAACACUGGGAGAGGACACGUCUUUGAUUUUCUCCUUCGCCUCAUUAUACACAUCCUCUGUCUCGCAGACUUUCUGCUGCUGGAAAAAAGUCAGUGUAUAAUUCAUCACGUGGGUUGACACCUUCCUCUUAGAAAGUGCUCUUUUCACAAGCCAUUGAGGCAUGAAAAGAGCACAAUCUCAUUGAAACAUAUGGCAUCACAGAACAUUUGCCACCAGCUCCGCCAUGUUCUUGUCGUCAAACAUUGUUGUUGUUCUUGUGCUGUCAAAACAUCUGCAAAAGGAAGACAGACACAGGGACAAAAUAUCACUUGUUUCAGAAGAAACAAAUGCAUGCAACACAGGAAUGCGUUGCCUAUUCCCAUCGAUCGACAGAACAUUGAAUAGGGCAUAGUCACACAAAUUACAUUUGUAGGUGGCAUCCAUUACAAGUAUUUCUGGAAACUGGUCCUUUGUCUUUAUCAUGUCCUUUGUUAUAAAUGCAAGAUAUUGGAAAAUUCCAUUCUCUUGGGGUCCCGAUUGAACCUUCCGACAUUCUUCCUCAAUCUCAUCAAUCACUUUUUCAACCCUCUCGGGCUCAGUUUCUUCUGUGGUCUUGUCCAGCUUCUUGCGAAGGUUGUGGAUGUCCUUUGGGAUACUGCUUCACCUUGAUGUACGAUGAUACAUCCUUUGCACUGAUGGAUGGCAUGCCGAGGAUGUCUUGCAGUGCCUCAUUGGGGUCAGGUUGCCUUUUUUCAGGAUAUAACUCUGAGAACUGAAAUAGAAAAAAAAAAGUAGAAAUUUAAAAAGUGAAACUUUUUUGGCAAAAUUGAAUCAAUUGAUAUGUCAAAUCACGCAAGUAGAAUUUACAACUUGCUCAAUGGACAAUUUGUUCCUCCUUGAUCAAGUUGGAUCUGGAUAAGGAGGAACAAACAUCAACUUCUUGAGGCUUAAAUUGCACCCGGUUUCCUGACAAAUGUGAGGCAACCAGGGAUUUUCAGUCUCAAGUUGACCUUUGAACCUUUUUGAUAUAUAUUGAUAUUCUAAAACUACCUCCAUUUCUGAACAACCUGGUCUUUACAGAAUUAAAAAAGGACAAUUAAAAGCUGAGAUAUGGGCAUUUAAAGACAACCACCUGAGCAGAUCAACUUUUGAGAGAAUCGCGUUCAAAGUUGGAGCAACAAAAUUUCAAGAGAUUUUGCACCGAAAACAACCCAGAAACAUAAUACCACUGCCCUACAUACCUUAAUUGGUUACUGUUGGGUAUUUUCAAGUUAGAAUGAAGUGAGAAAAUGUUGUUUUUAUUUAAUUUUUUUCUGUCAAGCCCUGCAGUGGGUGACUGAAGUGGAAAAAUUGAACGCGGCGAUUUCACAAAACUGCACACAUGUGCUGUCCACUGAUUUUUACCUUACCGGUAUUCUGUUUUCUUGAGAGCUUUCGUUUCAAGAAAAGCUUUGCAAAGAAAUAAACUAUUAUUGAAUUUGAAAAGCAGUCAGUAUAUUUGAAGUUAAAAGACAAAUAAUUUGAUAACAGAAUAAUAAACAUACCCAGUACAGCAAAAAAUAAAAGCAGAGGGUUUUUUUUUCCCAGGAAAAGCAUAGUGUAAGGCCUUGAAAGAAUUGGCAGUAAAGUAGUAGAGAAAUUAAAGAGAAAACUAUCUGACUCACAAUAAUUUAAAGCAGCAUAGCAUCCAUCCAAUUUAUUUCUCGUGAGGUUCCUUGUCUAUUGUCUGGCAACAGCAUUGCCCCCAAUUCUAGGCCUCUUUGCAAGCUGCACAACAGGCUGGUCGGGGUCUGGGCAAACGUUGUCUUUAAAAGAAUCCUCAACAAAAGGUCUAAUCUCCUUGAAAAGAUAGUCCUGUCUUUUUCUGUCAAGUCCCUGUGGCUGUAAGAUAGGGGGGAGGAGGGUGGGGUCAAUCUCGGUGUCACAUUUCAAAAGGUGCUGCAACACUGGCUCAGAGCAGGCGAGAGGUUUGAGUGCCACGGUACCAGAUGUGUCGCUGAUUGUCAUAUGCUGGAAAGACUUGAUGUUUUUUACCUUUUUGAAAUGCUUAUCCAGAAAUGAGUCCCAUUUAUAUGAAACGACGUUCACAUUGUCCGGUCUGGUUCCGACGAUCUGGGCUGUGUUUACUACCGACGAUUCCUCCUCAACUUUAGCAAGGCACUGCAGGCUGUUCACUUUCGUUCUGCGAUACAGGCACUUUACAAGUCCAAAACGGCCAUCAGGGCUGAACUUCGUGUGGCCGGUAAUCAAAAAGGAAAUUAUAACAGAGUCAUGACGGCUAGUCAGCACACGCCACAUGAGAUAUUGCAUCAUAGCCGAGUUUUUGUUUUGGCCUGAGCAGUUGUCUGCAUGCAGAUGGAGGUGCUUCUCCCCCAAACCGUAGAACUCAAAAAAAUGAUGGAGGAGGGAGAUGACACAAUUUGCCCCUUUUCCAACACACACAGAUUCAUCAAUCAGGUAGUUUACCUGCUGCGGAACUGCUUCGCAACAAAUUCCGAAUGGGCCGCAUUUCCGUGGUGUCUUAAAAUAAAUGGGUCCACGCUGGAGGGGGUCUGAAGGAAAAUGCACCUGCUGUGCAAAGUCAAAGCUGUAGUGCAUAGUCAUGUCAUGCGAACAUGCUUGGUUUUUACCCAGAGUCCUUUUUUCUCCGUGAAGUGCUUCUUUCGACUUGCCCACAAUGCUGUUCAGAUAAGAGCGCUCGGCUGUGACAUUGGUCAAGUGCUGUUCCAUGGACCUCAGGGCAUCAGACUUUAGCUCCUCUGACAGGUUUCUGGACCUUGCAACCUGAGCAGCUCCUUCCUGACAAGUCCAGCAAAGAUCUGUAGCAGGCCGCAUGGUGCUGAUGAAUGGCACGAUUUUUUUCCAGACGUCCCGAAACUGAGUAAGGCUUGCAACCCGCUGAUCAGGUGCUGAAGAGGCGACAUACUUAUCGGACACCAUCUUCUUGCUGCAGUUUGUUGGUAAAAGUCUGAGGUUGCUGUUCCAGUGUUUUGGGGUGCGGCCAGGUAGUGAAAUGGCAUGCGUCCCAGCAUAGUUGGUGAUAAACAACACUACUCGCUCUACAUCCCUGUAGGCCAGUGUGUUUGGAGGCAACCUCUUGGUGUUCUUGUGAACGCGUGGUGUAAUGCCAGAAGACUUAUAAUGCUUCAAAAGCGCUGUGAGUUUAUCCUGUGAUAUUCCAUGAAUAUACUUGAACAUUUCACGACAGAUUGGGUGACCACGAUGAAAAAAAUGCGUGUGAGUAAGUUUUUGUUCGGUCUGUUCUCGCCUCCUUGCACACUUUGUAGUACUGGAAAGGUGCAUCCCACACUCAAUCUUUCCCAACACCACCAUGUCUAACUCCUGGUCAGUCAGUGCGAUGAACUGACUCCUCACCUCGUCCAACUCCUCUUCUGCAUAUCUUGUCCGGCACGGUUUUCCGUUGAAAAGGCUGCAUUUGCAAGCAAGCUGCGCUGACUUCUUUCGUGAAGUGAGCUCUGUCUCAUUUGUUGGUCUAGUUCCAGUUCCUGGGAGAAAGCUCGACAGGUUUUCAAUGGGAGUGAAGGUCACAGGCUCCUCGUCUUUAUCAUCUGAUGAAGAGAACAGGAAAGGGUGCUCUAAGUAAUCACAAAGGCAAAAGGUAGUCGCAACAUUCUGGAACACUAUGCCAACAAGCCAAGUGCCAUUACAAAUAGACAAGCAGUUAUCAUGUUGAUGUAUCGACUAAAGGUAAAAAUUGUUAUGAAUUGCUCAUGGAUCUACACAACACUUUCCUCAUAAGGUUCAAAGCGCUUUACAAUCUAUUAUGAUGUAUUGAGUUGAGGUAUGUUUUAGAAAAGGUGGAUUUUCUUCGCUUCGUCCUGAAAUUGAAUUUUGGGCUAGUGCUUAAGACUAAACUUGGAUCGCACCACUAAAUUUUAAUUUCAUUGCUAUUCUUGUGUCUCAUCUAUAAACUCAAGAUGUUAAUGUUAUACAAUUUCCAAUAAACUAGAUCUAGAUCUAUGAAAAGUAAAAGUAGCAUUCAACUGUUUAGGCUAGCAGAAUUACAACACAGUCGAAACACACCUUUUGUCUCAAUUACGAAAAACCAAAACUGAUGUCCUCGUUAAUUAAAACGUAGGAGGAACUUUCGUAACAAGCGACCACUCCGAUAGACACGGGGAAAAAGGGAUCAAUUAAGAUAAAUAAUCCCUUAUCGUAACUUUACCUAACCCUAUCCCUAACCUUGAACCUAGAACACUAAUCCUACGUAAACCUGACCCUCUCCUUUCAUUAAAAGUUACUUAUAAUCAGAGUGGUCACUCAUUACACAGAGGUCCUCUCAAAAUUUUAAUCUUACAAUCAUUUAAUGCAGUAGAUCUAGUCAUUAUUAUUAAUUAGACCUAGAUUUACGCACUUCAAAAUGAAUUUACCUGUAUCAGAAGAGGGGUGUUGUCCUGCAGUGGCAGCAGAUUCAGCAGACCUGUCUAGAUUUUGGAGGUUGUUCUCAGGGUCUGAGUCACUGUCACUGUGUUCCACAUCGCUUUCAGGGGACAAGUACUCGUUAAUAUGUUCAAGUAGCGCCUGCUUAUCGUCUGCAUUGCUACUACAGAAAUUAUAUCUGUUCAGCUGUUGUGGUAUACCAGUAACACUGUUUGUUGUCAAUCCAGUUUGUAGAUCUAAGCCCGCGUUUCGACCUGACUCCAUCUUAUAGAGUUCGGAAUGAGUGAAAAAUGAACGCAUUCAGCGUGGUCACAGAAAACUUUUUAAAACACUUGGUUUCGAGGACAAUAACAGCACUCAAUAUGUCCAAUGGUUAAAUUGAUUAAAAAAAGCAGCUCGCUGUGCAAAAUAUGUCUGACAAUUGUUCUCCCAGUCGCUAGAAUCGUCAAAGAAUUACACACUGAUUUGUAUUUGCCUCUGAAACAGAACCAACGCCAUUGAUAGGAUCUACACUCUUCUGUGUUGUGUGUAUUCAUGAGCACUUCCUGCAGUUAAAAUCUACAAGGAAUUACCUUUCCAACGAUACCAAAUACUCGAUAUUUAUUGCAAGGAAUGCUUGAACAAAAUUAUGUUCAUUGUGGUCUAUCGGCAGAAGGAAAUUAGCGUACAUUUCGAGAAAACUGUCCUCAAAUUCCUAUGAAGUGGGUUCAGUAAAACAAGAAAAGAACACAUUUAUAUCUCGUUUUAGCAGUUUUUUUAUUUCACCAGAACAUAGAAAAAUGGACAAAGAACACAAUGAAAGCAAAAACUCAAUUUCCAUAAAAUAUCGAUAUUUUGACUUUAGAAGCCGAUAUCUCGAAAGCGGUCAGCGCGACUUGCGACUGAAAAUCCCUGGCGGCCUCACAAAUACCUUCUUCUGGCCCAACAAUGUGAUUAGAAUGGUUGAGAAUGCAGGUUAGAAACACAACACAAAGUUUGCAGAUACCCUCUUUGUAGUCAGCAGCUAGCCGAAUCUUUGCUUUACAUCCUCAUUUAAAGCUCCUGUCUGAAAAAAAUAGAAAUGAAAUAUAGAGAAGCUGACUGAAAAACUGCCAUUUUGAAUGUGAGUGAUUACUUGCAGCGUCUUCUGAUCUUGCCACAGGCCUUCUAUUGUAUUCUGUCACAAAGUAGUCUCGAAGGGACUUCACUUUGUUCUUUGGAAAGAAAAAAGUAACAGGCAAGGUAUUAUUUAUGAUACAAUAAUGCUUGCAUACAAUGUUAUUGUCGAUGAUAAAAGUUCACAUAAACUAAGUCAUAAAUGAUUGUCCUAUUCCAGCUAGUCAAAUAUACCUUCACAAUUCAAAUGCUACUUUCAGAGACUCAGCUUUUAUGAUAAACGUCUUUUUUCAGAUUUCUUGCAUUAGGUAUGUCUUUUAAAUUCCUUGCCUUCAACUUCCUAGUGGGUGCCUCCAUUGUAGCACACAUGUAGGCCUUCAAAUGAAUGUUGCAUCCACGAAAAAAAGAACAGCCUUGUAGGUCAAUGUAGAAAGUGCCCACAAAGUGGAAAGGCAUAUUUUUUGUCAUGUCACUUUCUUCCAUUGAUUUUUAAAUCUGUAUAUAUUCAUGCACAAAAGUUUUAAAAUUGUAUGUUUCUUCCACUGACCCUUGGAUUUAUCUUGUUUUUUCCAUUGUGCUGGUAUUUUUUCCAAGACAGUAGUUAUCUAUUUCUUUCAUUGAUUUGAUUCAGAAAGUAGGCAAAAAAAAUAGUCACUUCAGGUUCAUAUAAGGGCAAAAACUCAGAAAGUGAGAAUUUGGGAUAUAUCUGGUUUCCUCCAGUGGUCUUUGUGUGUAUUGAAUAAAUUUUGCAAAAGUUUUUUGUUUCAAUGAAAGCUAAAGUAUGAGUACGUCUUCCCCAGUCUGGCUUCUUAACAGGUACCACUUGUUUUGUUUUUUGGGAGGUGGGGGGGUUGUUGUUGUUGAAAGAACCCUGUUUUGUAUACUUGUAUUGCUAGAGUUUACCUAUGUUGUCUACUUUAAGCAAAAUUUAAUGCACACAUUUGACUGCCAGUCAGGACCAACUGGGGCUGAAACUGAUACCACGUCCCAGCAGAAAGACGGAAAUACCCAAUUGAAAUUAUCCCCACAGGGAUCUUCUGCAUGCGACAGCAAAACACUACCACUAUACCACUACCACCUCAGACACUGGUAUACAUUUUUUAUACUCUUGUUUAAUUAGUUUCACAUACUGCAGUGUUAUGAAAUGUUUUGCAUAUACUCUUUGGGUAUGGAAAGAUUUCUCUGCAUGCAUAUAUCGAGUUUACAUAAUGAUGAUGCAACGGUCACCAAGUUUGAGAGGCAAGCUAUAAGUGAAAAGUUGGCUUGCUUUUUAUGGAAUGUUCAAUGUUAGUACAUGUAGGCUACAUGUAUACAUUUGUAACAUUGUGCUAUAGUAUAGUUUGCCCAUUGAAAUUUGUUUUUGAUUUCUACUAUUGACUUUCAUCCCAAUUUUCAAUGCCUUGCCAGCCUGAUGUCCCACAUAGUGUAUCAUUUCAUUUUUCUUGACAACUUUUUGACAUUUCUGAGCCAUGUAGCUGGGGGGAGGUCCAGGUUUAGUAGAGCUUCUAAAUGACUACCGUGGUAUUUGUGGACAAGCCUUUGAGUUUUAUUACGACAGACCUGAUUUGAAAAGAACAAUAGAAAUGUAAGAAACAUGAAAUGGAUACCUAAGUCUCUGUUUCUGUUGUUGUUGCAAAAAAUGGGUGUGCAGUUUGAUGUCCUUUACAAAUAAUACCAUUUUCCUUUGUAUUGUAUGCAGCAGUUCUAGUGUUCUUGUAUGCAGCAGUUCUAGUGUUCUUAGUAUGAUGAUGAGCUAUUUAGUGUGAGUCGUGUUUGAUCUCUAUUUUUCACAGCUGAUGCUGAUAAAUUCGUUGUGCAAGUUUUUCAUACUGUGCUUGUUCCUACACAUUAUUUCUUCUGGUUUAUAUCAUUAAAGAGUUUGUUUGUGGUGCAAAUGGACAUGUUGAAUUGUUCAUAAUUUCUCAGAGUUGACUUCCAAAGGGGGAACUGGGUGGCAGUCAAGCAUUCAUAGACAAUAAUGCUGCAUUUUUUCAAAGUGUAGGUAAAUGAGAUGAGGAUACAAACAUCAUUCUUGGGAUGAUGAGGAAAAAUUUUAACUUCGUGUAACAAUUAUUAUGUGUUAUUGUGAAGCACAAUAAUAAAUCAAUGUCAUCAUGAGUUGCAAAAUGUUAUUGAAGUGGUUCAGGGUAAACCUAAGCUGACAUAGUAGCCUUCUUGCUUGUGUAUCGAGUUAUUAUUAUGCCAUGUCUUUGUUACUUUGUUGCAGCGUUAUUUUUUGUGAUCCAAUCAAUUUUUCAAUAAAAACAUUUUACUUUUAAUUUA